AUGCCCCGUAGGAACCACAGCCUGUUGAGGGGGUGCGCCCUCCCCGGGAGCACCCCCGGCCCUGGGCCGGCCCCCUGCCCGCAUAUGAACGGCUCCACCUGGCCAGGCCUGGAGCGAAUGGGCAGCGGUCAGGGCCCCCAGGAGGCCCAGGCGCAGGGGCAGUGGGUUUCCUGUGAGGACAGGCCUCAGGGUCACACCUCCCCAUCUCCCUUCGCUGUGCCAGGAGCCAGAUGCAUUCUGGGAAGAGGCCUGGCCCCCUCCUCAUGGCGACCCUGGGGGCGGGGAGGGGGUGGAGUCGGGGGGCCGUGCAUCAGUCUGUCUGCAUGUCCAGCCCAGCAUUCUGCCCCCGGGUCACGGCUGCCAGCCCCCCGACCCCCCGCAGAGGAGGCUGCUGGAUGGAGAGGGGCUGGUGGGGGCACAGCCAGGGCUGCAGGGACCGUCAGGUGCAGGGGGGGACAGAGGUGGCCCCUCUUCCGGGGUCUCCCUCACCAAGGAGGGGGUGGCAGUGUUGAGGACAAAGGGGCUAUGGGGUCCCCCAGCCCCCAGCUCAGGGACCCCUAGUGGGCCCCCACCUGUCCCCGUCCCAUCCUCACGUCCAACUGCCCUGCAGCCAGGCCUUCUACCCCGGAGGGUCCUGCCCGUGGGGCCCGUGGGGAGGCAGCCGGGGCCUCCAGGAGAGAUGGGGCGGGGGCCGGGCUGUUCCGCCAGCGCCCCAGGGCCGGGGCACCCCCUCCCUGUACCUGGGCCCUCUGGAGCCAGCCCCAGGUGCAGCAGCGCAUCUCUGAGUGUCUCUGAAGGAACCCGUGUGGUCCCACGACUCCCAAACUACGAGGGUGUCUUCCCGUCUGCUGCUGGGCUCCUGUCACCCACGCUGAGUGGCUGAGAACAGCUCCUGCCUCGCUGCGUCCACGCUCAGGACCUGGGGUGUCUGUGGGGGUAGCCACGGUCCCCCACCCAGGCCUCUCGGGCUCAGCGGGGCACCCGCUUCCAGGCCCCUGCCCCGCCUCCUGGUGGCCUCAGGUCCCCGCCGGCCGCUGGAUUCCUUGUCACGCGGGUCUCUCCGUGGGGCUGCCUCAUGUCCCAGGGUGGGGGGCGAGAGAGACAGAGACACAGAGAUGGAGACAGAGACAGAGAGAGAGACAGACCCAGCAGGGUUGUCUGUCUUGCCCCACGGAGACCCAGCAGGUGCCCUCCGCCCCCCCCCCCCCCCCCCCGCAACCUGCCCUCUGUCCCCGAACAGGGCUGGUCUCUGUGGUUUUGGAGGGUCUCGGCAGGUGACCAGAACGUGGAGGCUGUGAUGCUGUGAGACUUCCCGGCCCUGCAGGUGAGGCAGCCUCCUCGGAACCCGGCUGCACCCCGCGAGGACCCGCAGGCCACGCGGGAGGCCCCCAGCGUCCUGGCCGCGGGGAAGCCCCGUGACGUCUCCAGCCUCAGGCACGCUCGGUGCAGCCACGUGAGGGACCCUGACCCGCGGCCGGGCCGCCUCCCCCCGCCUGGUGCCCUCAGACCCUCCUGUCCAGACUCCCGGGGAACGGGGGCUCCAGACCCAGGAGGUGGCUGCAGCCC
rnacentral:lncRNA from 1 species